UGGGUUGCUGGGUGAACAGGGCGGCGCGGCGUGGCUGGCGGCCACGGCGGAUGCGGGGUUCAGCAUUUCCUCAGCCGAUC
rnacentral:tRNA from 1 species